GACGAACGCUGGCGGCGUGCCUAACACAUGCAAGUCGAGCGAUGAAGCCCUUCGGGGUGGAUUAGCGGCGGACGGGUGAGUAACACGUGGGUAACCUGCCUCAAAGAGGGGGAUAGCCUCCCGAAAGGGAGAUUAAUACCGCAUAAUAUUAGUUUUUCGCAUGAAGAACUAAUUAAAGGAGCAAUCCCCUUUGAGAUGGACCCGCGGCGCAUUAGCUAGUUGGUGAGGUAAAGGCUCACCAAGGCGACGAUGCGUAGCCGACCGGAGAGGGUGAUCGGCCACAUUGGAACUGAGACACGGUCCAGACGCCUACGGGAGGCAGCAGUGGGGAAUAUUGCACAAUGGGCGAAAGCCUGAUGCAGCAACGCCGCGUGAGUGAUGAAGGACUUCGGGUUGUAAAGCUCUGUCUUUUGGGACGAUAAUGACGGUACCAAAGGAGGAAGCCACGGCUAACUACGUGCCAGCCGCCGCAGUAACAC
rnacentral:rRNA from 1 species